rnacentral:rRNA from 1 species
AUUGAACGCUGGCGGCAGGCCUAACACAUGCAAGUCGAGCGGAGCGGCGGACGGGCGAGUAAUGCCUAGGAAUCUGCCUGCUAGUUGGGGAUAACGUCCGGCUACGGGCGCUACUACCGCAUACUAUCAGAUGAGCCUACGGCGGAUUAGUUAGUUGGUGGGGUAAAGGCCUACCAAGGCGACGACCCGUAACUGGUCUGAGAGGAGGAUCAGUCACACUGGAACUGUGACACGGUCCAGACGCCUACGGGAGGCAGCAGUGGGGAAUAUUGGACAAUGGGCGAAAGCCUGAUCCAGCCAGGCCGCGUGUGUGAAGAAGGUCUUCGGAUUGUAAAGCACUUUAAGUUGGGAGGCGUUACCAACAGAAUAAGCACCGGCUAACUUCGUGCCAGCAGCCGCGGUAAUUC